rnacentral:lncRNA from 1 species
CUAAAAUGCGGCACAAAUGAACCUGUCUACAGAACAGAAACAGACUCAGAGACACAGAGAACAGACUUGGGGUUGCCAAGGGGGAGGGGGAGGGGGAGGGAGGGGACGGACGGGGAGUUUGGGGUUCGUAGAUGCAAACUAGGACAUGGACAAUGGAUAAGCCAUGAGGUCCUGCUGUCCAGCCCAGGGAACUCUAUCCGGUCUCCUGGGAUAGACCGUGAUGGAAGAGAAUACGAGAAAAAGAAUGCCUGGGAUUGCUUCUUGCGUCUCUGGGUAUCUCGCGAAGCCAGAGCCUCGGCACCCACAGGGUGGCGCGUGCAUCCAAAGCAUCUUGUGGAAAGGCACGGGAGGGGCUGUCCUUGGCACCCUAGUGCAGGACCGCCUUCCAAGCACGUGCAGGAGGGAUUGCAUCCUCGAAGCUGCUGGCAGGGUGGUUCUGAGGACACGGGACAUCGGUCUGUUGAGUUUUCCGGUGCGUAGGCGGAGUCUGUGUGGGAGGACUGUCAGAGCUGCCCUCAUUUCAUCACACUAAGCAGCCGUGCACCAAAGGACCAUGGCAUCUCAGUGACGUGCCGGGCAUGGUAUGCCUGUGGCCGCCCACAGCAGCGCAACAGGGCGGGUACCACCAGCUCCGUUUUAGGAGCAGCGGGUUUGUGCCUCAACAUCUGUGUCCAACGGAUCCACUGAGCUGCGUCCCCGGGCUCUGGAGAGAAUGAAAUCCACAACCGAGUCUCAACCAGGAACCAGAGGUCCCUUUUCCUCGAGCACUUUGCUCGAGGUGCCUCUGUGCCCUCGGAGCUGCCUGGUGGCUUUAGGCAGUGAGCUCUGGACGCACCCAUUCAGGGGAGAGGGGAUGGUGACACAGAACUCAGGCAGCAGAAGCCCCAGGAAGCAGAUCGAGCAGCCCGAAAUCAAAAUCAGAUGCACGGCUGAUUUCUGGCGGCUUUCUGCUCUUUCAGCCCCUGCCUGGACUGAACGGGGUGAACGGCAGCGCCUCCCACGACGGGGGCUCUGCACGCAGAACAGGAUGAAACAGUUCUACUCCCAGCGCUGCAGCUCACAGACACUGCAGCCCUUUCCUCCU